rnacentral:sRNA from 1 species
GCUGGGCAUGGUGGCGCGUGCCUGUAAUCCCAGCUACUCAGGAGGCUGAGGCAGGAGAAUUGCUUGAACCCAGGAGACUGAGGUUGCGGUGAGCCAAGGUCGCACCAUUGCACUCCAGCCUGGGUAACAAGAGCGAAACUCCGUCUCAA